UAAAAUUAAACAUUUCAAGUUGAUCAACGGUUGAAGAAAUUUCCCAUUGUCCAAUGUUGUCAUGUCAACUCAAUUUCUACACUUGUUACAGUGAGAAAAGAUAAUGAAAUUAUUAUCAUUUCUAUACAUCCUAGUUUAUCCAAAUAUUACAAAACAGGGCUAGCUUGUCCUACAUUACAUGAAUCAAACACAAAAUUGGACGAUCCUUUGGUCUAGUCUUGUGCUAUGCUAUCCUCUCUUUUCCAAACCAAAGGCAGCCUAAUAUCCAAAAAGAACAGACAAUGGAAUGAAUUUCUAGGAGGAAGAAUAUGGAAGUACACUAAUAUCAUUACAAGCUCAGUAGUUUAAAAAGAAAUAUAAUUGUACUCAGAAAAUCACCAGAGGAAAAAAAAAUGAGAAUGAAGACCACUGAUUCCUUGUUCUAGGGAGACAUUUGUAUGUAGCAUCUAAAACCAUCUUCAACAAAUGGCAUUAUCUCUUUAAGCUCCCAGAGAAUCUAGAAAGUGGCACAGGACCAUCAGCCUCUUCAUCAUUACCGCUGAAAAGUAUGGAUCUUGACCUGUGAUUCUUUUCCUUCUUCAUUCUCUUUGACCAGGAUUUUGAUCUUCUUGAUUCUCUUUCCUUGUCAUCACUACUUGAAGAAUCUGAAGAUGAACUCUGUAGAUGAACUUGAUGAGCUAGAUUCUGAAGAUCUCCACCUUGAAUGCAUAAGGCAUUAGUUUCUGAUCAGCAGAUUACACAAUGUGUCCGUAAUUUCAAUGGGGAGUGGGAACCUUGCCUAUAGAAUUAUUAAAACAGGUUUAAUUAUCAGAAAAUAAUUAAUUAAUCAAUUAAUUAAAGUACCAUCAAGUUCAGUGUCAUAAAUUUCAAUCAAAUAUAAAAUGGGUUAUUCUAGGGAAAAAAACAACUAAAUAAUAUUGGAAAUUCAGGCACCUUUCUCUUUCUGCUGCUGCUGCUGCUGUUUUUCUUUAAAUCUUUGUCCUUUGUAACUCUUUUAUGAUUAGGCUUGCUAGAGUGGUUCCUUCCAUGAGCAAGCUUUCUUGCCCUGUCAGCAACUCAGCAUCAAGUUGAGCUCUGUACUCUCGCAUCAUUCUAUCUGUAUCAGCUUCCAAUUCCCCCCUUUUCAUUUCAUCCUC
rnacentral:misc_RNA from 1 species